GUUAUGUUGAAGCAUGGACAUGGAGGUUGGUCCGAAUCGUUCCGAAGGUUUAUAUAAGCUCUCCAUUCCCUAAUUCUACUCAAUACGUUUGGUGGUACAGAACGGUAACAUUUCUCUCAAUUUCUCAAGCAUGGGUGUAUGGGGAAACCAUAUGCUAUGGGAGAAUCAGGACACUACUUGCGAA
rnacentral:ribozyme from 1 species